rnacentral:rRNA from 1 species
UGAGGACAGUGCCUGGUGGGUAGUUUGACUGGGGCGGUCUCCUCCCAAAGAGUAACGGAGGAGCACGAAGGUGGGCUAAUCACGGUUGGACAUCGUGAGGUUAGUGCAAUGGCAUAAGCCCGCUUAACUGCGAGAAUGACGGUUCGAGCAGGUGCGAAAGCAGGUCAUAGUGAUCCGGUGGUUCUGUAUGGAAGGGCCAUCGCUCAACGGAUAAAAGGUACUCCGGGGAUAACAGGCUGAUACCGCCCAAGAGUUCAUAUCGACGGCGGUGUUUGGCACCUCGAUGUCGGCUCAUCACAUCCUGGGGCUGAAGUCGGUCCCAAGGGUAUGGCUGUUCGCCAUUUAAAGUGGUACGCGAGCUGGGUUUAGAACGUCGUGAGACAGUUCGGUCCCUAUCUGCCGUGGGCGUUGGAAGAUUGAAGGGGGCUGCUCCUAGUACGAGAGGACCGGAGUGGACGAACCUCUGGUGUUCGGGUUGUGUCGCCAGACGCAUUGCCCGGUAGCUAAGUUCGGAAUUGAUAAGCGCUGAAAGCAUCUAAGCGCGAAGCGAGCCCUGAGAUGAGUCUUCCCUGACGGUUUAACCGUCCUAAAGGGUUGUUCGAGACUAGAACGUUGAUAGGCAGGGUGUGUAAGCGUUGUGAGGCGUUGAGCUAACCUGUACUAAUUGCCCGUGAGGCUUAACCAUACAACACCCAAGGGGUUUUGUA